UGGGGAAUUUUGGACAAUGGGCGAAAGCCUGAUCCAGCAAUGCCGCGUGUGUGAAGAAGGCCUUCGGGUUGUAAAGCACUUUUGUCCGGAAAGAAAUCCUUGGCUCUAAUACAGUCGGGGGAUGACGGUACCGGAAGAAUAAGCACCGGCUAACUACGUGCCAGCAGCCGCGGUAAUACGUAGGGUGCAAGCGUUAAUCGGAAUUACUGGGCGUAAAGCGUGCGCAGGCGGUUUGCUAAGACCGAUGUGAAAUCCCCGGGCUCAACCUGGGAACUGCAUUGGUGACUGGCAGGCUAGAGUAUGGCAGAGGGGGGUAGAAUUCCACGUGUAGCAGUGAAAUGCGUAGAGAUGUGGAGGAAUACCGAUGGCGAAGGCAGCCCCCUGGGCCAAUACUGACGCUCAUGCACGAAAAGCGUGGGGAGCAAACAGGAUUAGAUACCCUGGUAGUCCACGCCCUAAACGAUGUCAACUAGUUGUUGGGGAUUCAUUUCCUUAGUAACGUAGCUAACGCGUGAAGUUGACCGCCUGGGGAGUACGGUCGCAAGAUUAAAACUCAAAGGAAUUGACGGGGUCAUAGCUG
rnacentral:rRNA from 1 species